UGCACAGACCACAGAUGACAGACCAAUUUUGAAAAGCUUUCUAAACAUCGGUUACUGGUUCAAGAUGUACAUGUAAGCUAAGAAGAAGCGAGCUUCCUUCGCAUAUAUGUCUACAUUGCUUGAGAUGUUAAAAGAGAUCCUCUCUAGGAUUGGAUAUUUGUGUAACGAAGUUUGGAGGUUAAAUGUGGAGUAGAAAAACAGAUGGUUUUUUAUGUGCAUAUGAUAAAAGUUUGGGAAUAUUUGGAAAACAAAUUUUAUAACGAGUUGUUUUGUAUAAAUAAAAAUACUUCAGGAGAUUACAGCUUUUUAUUUCCUUUAAGGACUUAAACUAUUACGAAAUUAUCAAUUUAACCCCUAAAUGUCUU
rnacentral:lncRNA from 1 species